CACGUAGGGUGCGAGCGUUGUCCGGAAUUAUUGGGCGUAAAGAGCUCGUAGGCGGUGUGUCGCGUCGGCCGUGAAAACCUGCAGCUUAACUGUGGGCUUGCGGUCGAUACGGGCAUCACUGGAGUUCGGCAGGGGAGACUGGAAUUCCUGGUGUAGCGGUGAAAUGCGCAGAUAUCAGGAGGAACACCGGUGGCGAAGGCGGGUCUCUGGGCCGUAACU
rnacentral:rRNA from 1 species